CUCGACCUUUCGCGAUACCUGUCGGCAGCACACACCCCCUUAACUUCCUCAUCGAUUCAUCUCUGGCUCUAUCCGCAUCACUCCGAAAAACAACUCCCCAGCCAGCCAACGCUCCUGCGCUGCGCCCCUUCUGCGAUCUUCGCCCACGAUCGACUCCAUCCAUUGACUCCACAUAUAAGCAGGAUAAAGAGCUACAAAAAGUACUAAAAGUGAAAAGAGGUACAAAAGAAGCAACAAUCAAAUUCCAAAAG